GAUGAACGCUGGCGGCGUGCCUAAUACAUGCAAGUCGAGCGAACAGAUGAGGAGCUUGCUCCUCUGACGUUAGCGGCGGACGGGUGAGUAACACGUGGAUAACCUACCUAUAAGACUGGGAUAACUUCGGGAAACCGGAGCUAAUACCGGAUAAUAUAUUGAACCGCAUGGUUCAAUAGUGAAAGACGGUUUUGCUGUCACUUAAAGAUGGAUCCGCGCCGCAUUAGCUAGUUGGUAAGGUAACGGCUUACCAAGGCAACGAUGCGUAGCCGACCUGAGAGGGUGAUCGGCCACACUGGAACUGAGACACGGUCCAGACUCCUACGGGAGGCAGCAGUAGGGAAUCUUCCGCAAUGGGCGAAAGCCUGACGGAGCAACGCCGCGUGAGUGAUGAAGGUCUUCGGAUCGUAAAACUCUGUUAUUAGGGAAGAACAAAUGUGUAAGUAACUAUGCACGUCUUGACGGUACCUAAUCAGAAAGCCACGGCUAACUACGUG
rnacentral:rRNA from 1 species